AACGAACGCUGGCGGCAGGCCUAACACAUGCAAGUCGAACGAAGUCUUCGGACUUAGUGGCGGACGGGUGAGUAACACGUGGGAACGUACCUUUUGGUUCGGAACAACUCAGGGAAACUUGAGCUAAUACCGGAUGAGCCCUUAGGGGGAAAGAUUUAUCGCCGAAAGAGCGGCCCGCGUUAGAUUAGCAAGUUGGUGAGGUAAAGGCUCACCAAGGCUACGAUCUAUAGCUGGUCUGAGAGGAUGAUCAGCCACACUGGGACUGAGACACGGCCCAGACUCCUACGGGAGGCAGCAGUGGGGAAUCUUGCGCAAUGGGCGAAAGCCUGACGCAGCCAUGCCGCGUGAAUGAUGAAGGUCUUAGGAUUGUAAAAUUCUUUUACCAGGGACGAUAAUGACGGUACCUGGAGAAAAAGCACCGGCUAACUUCGUGCCAGCCGCCGCGGUAAGAC
rnacentral:rRNA from 1 species